UGAGGGAAUAUUGGGUCAAUGGGGCGAGAGCCUGAACCAGCCAAGUAGCGUGAGGGAAGACUGCCCUAUGGGUUGUAAACCUCUUUUGAUUGGGAACAAAGAGCGCCACGUGUGGUGCGUUGCGUGUACCUUUCGAAUAAGCAUCGGCUAAUUCCGUGCCAGCAGCCGCGGUAAUACGGAAGAUGCGAGCGUUAUCCGGAUUUAUUGGGUUUAAAGGAGCGCAGGCGGUCUUAUAAGCGUGACGUGAAAUGCAGCGGCUCAACCGUAUGAUGUGCGUCGCGAACUGUGAGACUUGAGUGUAUUCGAUGUCAGCGGAAUUUG
rnacentral:rRNA from 1 species